rnacentral:rRNA from 1 species
UACGUAGGGGGCAAGCGUUGUCCGGAUUUAUUGGGCGUAAAGAGCGUGUAGGCGGCCGUGUAGGUCCGUUGUGAAAACUCGAGGCUCAACCUCGAGACGUCGAUGGAAACCACACGGCUAGAGUCCGGAAGAGGAGAGUGGAAUUCCUGGUGUAGCGGUGAAAUGCGUAGAUAUCAAGAGGAACACCAGUGGCGAAGGCGAGUCCCUGGACAAUACCUGACACUGAGGCACGAAAGCCGGGGGGGCAAACAGG